rnacentral:rRNA from 1 species
GACAGAGGUCCCGAGCGUUAGGCGGAAUCACUGGGCUUAAAGCGUGUGUAGGCGGAUGCUAAGUACCUUGUGAAAUCCCACGGCUCACCCGUGGAACUGCUUGGUAUACUGGGUGUCUUGAGCCACUUAGGGGCUACCGGAACAAAUGGUGGAGCGGUGAAAUGCGUAGAUAUCAUUUGGAACGCCAAUGGUGAAAACAGGUAGCUGGGAGUGUGCUGACGCUGAGACACGAAAGCCAGGGGAGCAAACGGGG